UCUAAUAUAUCAUAUUCCAAUUACUUGAAUAUAGACUCUUCUUCUUCUGUUUUAUUGUGUUGCACUGUUGGAGGAGCCUGUGACCUAAGUUUCUCAUUGACAAAUCUUUAGCUAUUUACAAAUGCCAAUAAAAGCCAUGAAUCUUGAAUCUAAUUCCCCAUCUUUGUCAUCUCUUAUACUAUAGCAUUUAAAGUGACAACAUCCACACAGCUGUGUGCUUGACAUGCUUGAUAGUCCCCCGAAUACGGUGACUUAUUGGGUCGUUAACUUAUACUAUCGUCUAUGAUUUUUCUAAGUAAUGCACGUAACAUGAAACAUCUGUGUGUACGGCUUGUUGCAUACACAAUGAUACAACACCAUUGAAGAUGUUUUUUUGUUGUUUUUUGAGUAUUCCUAUUGUGACGACCCCUGCCUUGUUAUCUCUGGUGUGUGUAUGUUCCUUUAAGGUUUUCCCUUUGGUCUAUCAGCUGGGAUUGAGGACACCUGGCGACUGGAGCUAGCCGGAUAAAGGACCGGGCCGGAUCUCGCUCUCUCGCUCUCUCUGGCAGGAGGACGCAGCGCGAAGAGCAGCCACGACCAGCUGACCUCUUGUUUCGUAGUUUGUUUCGCCUGUUUGUGUCCUUCAGCAGCAGUGAAUAAACUCUUGUUUCCUAUUCACGCCCUCGUGUUCUGUCUCGUUUGUUGUGGCUGAGAGCCAAGCCAUGACAGCUGGGGGCUCGUCCACUUCUUUUUAUCUGUGAUACAGCAACGGAUAGGUGAGCUUUAUGUGGGUUGGUUGGUGCGUUGCAUGUGGAGCAGUGCGGAACGGUGCGGAGUUGUCCCUGGCAGGUUAAGCGGCGGUUCCCUUGGGAUCGUUGAGCGGGGUGUGUAGUGUUGCGGAGAAAGUGGUUGAAGCCUUGGCUAGGGAGCAUGGCCGUGGUCUCAGUAGUGUUGCUAGCUUGCUAGUCGCUUUGCUGGAUUAGUGGUCUCCAGUGCAUAAAUACCCACCACAAGUAACUGCUACAACUGAGGAAGCAUGGGCCGUGACGGUAAUGUAUUGUCUGUCAUACUGUUUAAUAAAUCGUUCUCGCUCUGCCCAUCCUUUUAAAGUGUGCUUCUCAGGUUGCUUACCUGUGUUGCUAAAGAUGUGGCUGGGUGUGGGAGGAGCGGCUGGCAGUGUGAGGGUUGUAUGUUGCAAUUGUUGGUUUUGUUGGAAGUGGGGUUCCGUAUGUCUGGUAUUUUUGUUGUUCAUUACUGGUGUUUUUUUUGUUUUGUCAGGGUUGGUGUGCCGGUGGUCCUGGGGACACCGACUUUAAGGGGGGGGGGGGUGUGACGACCCCUGCCUUGUUAUCUCUGGUUUUCCCUUUGGUCUAUCAGCUGGGAUUGAGGACACCUGGCGGCUGGAGCUAGCCGGAUAAAGGACCGGGCCGGAUCUCGCUCUCGCUCUCUCUCUGGCAGGAGGACGCAGCCACGACCAGCUGACCUCUUGUUUCGUAGUUUGUUUCGCCUGUUUGUGUCCUUCAGCAGCAGUGAAUAAACUCUUGUUUCCUAUUCAC